UAUGUUUAAUGCUUUUCGACAUGUCCCCAAAUUAAUAUAAUUGGUUUAGUUUGUUUUGAUAUUUUAACCUGCGUUUCGUGAUCGCGUUUGGUGUGGGGGGGGACAAAAUAUAUUUAUGCACGUGAGCAGCCGGUUUCGGUUCCAGAGGACAAACACCCUUGGCUGUAUCUAAAAUAAAUGUUUUAAUUUCUCAGGAUGAAUCCUUCAUUCCAUCAGAUGAAAUGUCUGUUAGGUUUACCAGAAGUUCAGGAAAUACUAGCGUCAAAGAAAUCGCCGCCGUUAGCUUGCUAAACUAACUAGCCCAUGUUUGCUAAUGCAACAAGCAGUGUUAGUUGAUGCUAGCUAAUCCUAAAUAGUUUAACUACCUACUUUAGCUGGCUAAAAAUAUGCCCAGAUUCGGGAAGCUUUGUUGACUGACGUUAACACAAAUCGAACUGACAUAGCCAAUUCCCCCCAAAUAACGCACAGCCCCCAACUUUGGACACACUAGCGGUUGGAGGACUAAGUAAACUUGAGCGCAACAUUUAAGUGGACUGGAAAAUAACAGUAAGUUUUGCGACUAAAAGACACCCGUCUAGCUAGCUGACCACCGAUUUUUAUUGCAAUUUAUGUAAUUUGAGUUUUCAAAAAGGUAAUAUGUAUACACAUUUUUGUAGGACACGCUGUAUAUCGUAAAAUUCGACAUACCACACAUUUAAUAUCGAACCUUUUACCGCUGAAAUAUAGCCAACAGAUUUGCUGAUGUUGCUAUCAAAAUGCUGAUAGUUGUAGUAUUUCCACUAAAAUGUCAAACAUGCUAAUUGCUAACCCAUUUGCUAACAUUUUUACAACACCAAUAAAUCACAAAAUAUUGAUGGCUUGAUCACAAGAUCACUAUUGGUAAUGUUUCUUAAACAAUGUUGAAAAUACGGUGUGCUACGCUAGUCCGAAUCUGGUCACAUUGCCAUCAGCUAACACCGAACCCAAACCGGCUGCGAGCAUGCGCACAUAAAUUUUGUCGCCCCACACCAAACACGACAUGCAGGUUUAAUGAUCAAAACAAACUCUGAACUUGGGAACAGUUCGAAAAGCAUAAAAUAUUUAUGGCAAUUUCGCUAUUUAGCUUGCACUUGCUAGCUCAUUUGUCCUGGGAUACAAACAUUGAGUUGUUAUUUCACCUGAAAUGCAAAGUCCUCUACUCUGCCAAUUAAUCCACAUAAAACCGGCAACCAAAUAAUUUCUAGUCAUCCCUCUUCCUUCCAGGCCUUUCUUCUCUUUAUAUUGCGAACUUUCAUAAAUUAAGUGCAUUACCGCCACCGACCUCGUUCGUCUUUCAGUCACCCAUGUGGGUAUAACCAAUGAGGAGAUGGCAACGCAGACGCUCUUUAGCGCAAUAAUUGAAUAACAGAUUUUUACAUUUAUUUUGCAACGGUCGAGCACGCGACGUGAGCGUUGUGGUCAGCAUUUAACGUUAGUCAAGCUAAAUACCCUUUUCUCUAAAACACUCCUGGUCAAGCUAGCUAACAUUGGAAACCUAACACCCACUAGUUUAGCUAGAAAUGUUAUUCCUUGUGUUAGUUGAUAAAGUUGUUCUUCUCACGUAGGUAAUUACUGUAGACUUACGUUAGCUAGAUCAAUGAACAUUGUAAUAUUCAUUGGUCAAACUCACUUAACUAAUGUUAUUUAUAGCGUUACAAUUAGGAUCCUAUACCUUAAGUAUUUGGUGAUGGUAGUUACCUAGUUAACUGUCUUUUCCUAUUAUUAUUAUUAUUAUUAUUAUUAUUAUUAUUUCAGAGAAAGCACGUACACCAUUUUAAGAUUUUUAGAGAACUGACAGCAAACACAUUGAAGAGAACAUGCCUCACACUCCCGCCACCAUCAAGCUGAGCACAUUAUUGAAGGCAGCGUCUCAACUCCAUCGACAAAGCUGUGGUGAAGUAUAUGGUCCUUGGGCUCCAACUAUUCGCUGUAGUAGAACGAGAACCAUUAAAGGCCCACACUGCACUCCAGGAUUAAUGAAGCAUCCAAGGAAAUGAAGGUGACUGAGGGCAUGAGAGGAGUUGACCACAACGCCGCCACCACCGACUGCUGGUCUGCAAGAAGACGGAGCUUCAUUGGUGUUACAGAGGAUUGCACACCUUUGAAGUAUUGGCAGGCGCCCUAAAUGACAUCCAUUCUGAGUUUGAAACUCGGAGGAAGAUUGUCUGUUCUAACAAUGACUACCUUAUUCAAAGCUUUACAAGUCUUUGGAGAAGGUGAAAACAACAAGGCAGUUGAAGCAGUGGGUUUGGGUGGUGAGGCAGCUAGCCAGGACGAUGGUGAAGAGGAACAAGAGGAGAUUGAAGUGAAGUUUGAUGUGGCAACGAUCCUGAAUGUAGAUGGUUGAAAGUACCAGCUGCCGAAGCACCAGUGUUGUGCUUGCCACCUACUCCACUAAGGCUCUACAGGCAAUGCUCUGAAAGCAACAUCCAGUGAGGCAUACAAAAUAAAGUGUUCUGUUCAACAUUUGGCAAGUGCCUAGCACUUUGGAACAAAUGCAGGAGAUCUCCACUUGCAGCCGAAACCAAUGAAGAUACUUGCGACCUCCAACUGCUACGCCCGAAUGCUACAAGGUGGAACUCCUGGUUGUAGAAAGACUGAGGAUCGUCAAAGGAGAGGCGGCCGUCAGUUCUCUGCACAGACUUCAAGGUUCCAAUGUUCAAUCCAGCUGAAGUCGCCUUCCUCACAGAGUAUGCUUCUACCAUGAGCCCAGGGUAAAAGGCCAUCAACAUCCUGCAGGCUGAAAGCAAUGUCCAGGAAUGUACUACAUCAAGGACCACAUGGAAAAACCCUGCAGCUAGGUGAUGGCAGAAGUCCUUCUGGUGAACUGGUGGCAUGAAGACAUCUCAAGCACAAUUAAGCUCCAAACAGCUGGACAGAUACCUAGCCUGUUAAGCUGAUCAUAGGGAGUUGCUCAAGUCCUUCCCAGCAGUCUGAAGUUGAACACACCCUUGCCUGCCUCAACUGCAUGUGAAAGGCGGUUCAGCAUUGCAGGAUUUGUUUUCAGCCCAAUGAGAGCAGGGCUGGAUUCCAGAAACUUUGAAAAACAUAUUUUACUGAAGAUGAAGUGCAAAUUCAACUUCAAGUAAUGACACCUUAAUGCUAGCAAGCCCAAGGAAAGGGAUGCCUUAUGCGUUUUGUCACAUUUAAAAUUCACAAGUCAUAGGUGUCCAUGUUAAAGGUGUGACCUGAAACACUGAUUUCGAAUCCAGUUCCAUCAGAGGUGACGUCCUCAUAUUCCUACAGUGAGGUUGUGUGCAGAUCUGUACAUGUACUUUGAGUUACCUAAAAAAAAUGUUUUUUAAAGAAACGAACUAUAGGGUUCUAUACAAAACAAAUUAUCAAGCAAAGUGACUGAUUGUAACUGCUUAUGUUUAGUGGCUAUAUUUUGUCUGUAAGAGAUGUAUUUUUAAGUGUUAUCUGAGCACUUUUUGCAUCCGUAAGACUUACCUUCCAGAAAAGCUCAAACCAAAUAAAAGAUCUGUCUGUUUUGCUUUUCAGAUUUACAGCUCUAACAUUUCAUACUUAAAGUAGCUGAUAUUAAAUGUACUUUAAGACUUUUACUCAAGUAAUAGUCUAAUGAGUGACUAUCUUCUAAAUGAGUCAUUUUCCAGUAAGGUAUCUUUACUUUUACUCAAGUAUGGCUUUUGGGUACCUUUUCCACCACUGCCUGUGGGUCCCCAGGAUUGGAGAGAACCUUACUCUAGGUUGUGAUGUCAUACCUGGCAUACAGUGUGCAGAAGAAGAAGAUGACCAGUCC